rnacentral:lncRNA from 1 species
GAAAUCAUUUCAGGAACAAAAAUAUUUUCUGCCAAAAAUAUCUCAGGACUAUAAAUAGAAUUCUGAACCAAAUUCAUUCAUUAUUCGCAUUUCCAACUAGAGAAAAACCAUUUUCUCUCUCACGGAUCUUCGGGUUUUUAUCCCAAAUGUGAGUACCCCUCUCUAGUAGUGUUACAUAGCUUUAAAUGUGUUCAUAACAUAGAUUACAUAGCUAAAUCACNNNNNNNNNNNNNNNNNNNNNNNNNNNNNNNNNNNNNNNNNNNNNNNNNNNNNNNNNNNNNNNNNNNNNNNNNNNNNNNNNNNNNNNNNNNNNNNNNNNNAAGAACAGCCCAGACAACACAGCGAACUACUCAACAAUAGAAUUAAAAGACUAGGCUUCUCACCCUUGAGAGCUCCGGUCUUAUUCUUGCCAGAAGUCGACGGAGUGCAUUUUAUGUACCUCGACGACCGGAGACUUCAUUAAGAUUUCCUUUAGAAAUCGUUGUCUCUGCCUCGCAUAGACGAAUUGAUUGGGCAAACACAGGGAAAGAAUUUCUUCAGAAAUGGACCUGAGAUCCGAAUAUCACCAGUUCGAGUGUUAGGGAAGGAUGUCCUAAAGACUACCCUCCGAACUCGAUGCGGACACUUCGAGUCCGUAGUGAUACCCCUCGGAUAGGACCAAUACGCCCAUAGUAUUCAUGAGCUGAAUAAGUAGAGUACGCCUUUCUUACUGUGAUCAGUUCGUCAUUUCUCCAUAUAAUGACUACUUAUCUACCCUCGUAGUAAGAAAGAACCCAUAGAAACAUUACCCUCGGAGAUACUUUCCGCAAAGUUAUCUGAACAAGAGUUUUGGAAUUUAGAGUCAAAUCUCCUGAGACACACUUUUAGUGUUGUGGAAAUUCUUGAGUACUCUGUCAAAUUAUCCAAAACCGUUGGGAAUUUGUCGGCACCAUAGUCAUCGACGGAAAAUUCGCCAAAUUCUAGGUCUUACAGACCUACUAUCAUAGUCCAUUCGGAACUCCCCGUAAACUUCAGGAACCCUUUCGACUUUGACCCAGCAAGGGAUGGCCCUUGACUGGGAAGUAAGCGAGAGAAAGAACAUUUGGAAUUCCAAGUGAGAGACCAAAUUCUUUAGGAAACCUCACUCUGGGAACGGCUUAAUACGCUUCGUAAAGCGUGGAAAGCUAAAAUCCAAUAUAGUUAGGACCUCCGAGAUUCUUACCAGAAUCGGUCCUGCAUUUCACAAACUAGACCUACUCCGCGAACUCAGUAACGUACAUUUUCCCCUUCGCGUCUCGAACUUGAAACAGUAUCCUUCCAUUAGGACUUUCGUAAUCCCUCUCGACGAGAUCGAGAUUUACGAGAUCCUUGCCUUCGUAUUAGAACCGUAGUGACCCUCGACCGAGUGGCCAAGCGGACGAAGCAACGUCGUCGCUCAUUAGUGAAGCUUCGUUGGAAUAGCAACUGAGAACCCGAUUUCACUUGGAAGCGCGAGAGCAAAUCGAUUAGGAAGUUUUCACCUAACGACUCGAUCAUUUAUACCUACUUCCUUAUCUAAAUUCUAAUUUCGGGAUGAAAUUCCCUUUAACAGGGGGAUGAUGUGACAACCCGAAAUUUCCAUUCUGAACAAACCAUAUCAAGACAAUAGAGCUUAGAACAGUUUCAGUGAAAUUCCAGACUUCGGGUAUAAGUUUGGCAGUUUUUCAGGAUUUACACUUAAGGAGAUAUCAGGAGAGUGGUUGCACUAGGGUUUUGUGCAACACUGUUAUUCCAACACUCUGUUAUAUUAGAAAUCAUUUCAGGAAUAAAAAUAUUUUCUGCCAAAAAUAUCUCAGGACUAUAAAUAGAAUUCUGAACCAAAUUCAUUCAUUAUUCGCAUUUCCAACUAGAGAAAAGCCAUUUUCUCUCUCACGGAUCUUCGGGUUUUUAUCCCAAAUCGUGAGUACCCCUCUCUAGUAGUGUUAUAUAGCUUUAAAUGUGUUCAUAACAUAGAUUACAUAGCUAAAUCACUAGAUUUAGGAGUUUACUCCCCAAGGUGUUCUUGGGCGGUAA